UGAACGCUGGUGGCGUGCCUAAUACAUGCAAGUCGAGCGAACAGAUGAGGAGCUUGCUCCUCUGACGUUAGCGGCGGACGGGUGAGUAACACGUGGAUAACCUACCUAUAAGACUGGGAUAACUUCGGGAAACCGGAGCUAAUACCGGAUAAUAUAUUGAACCGCAUGGUUCAAUAGUGAAAGACGGUUUUGCUGUCACUUAUAGAUGGAUCCGCGCCGCAUUAGCUAGUUGGUAAGGUAACGGCUUACCAAGGCAACGAUGCGUAGCCGACCUGAGAGGGUGAUCGGCCACACUGGAACUGAGACACGGUCCAGACUCCUACGGGAGGCAGCAGUAGGGAAUCUUCCGCAAUGGGCGAAAGCCUGACGGAGCAACGCCGCGUGAGUGAUGAAGGUCUUCGGAUCGUAAAACUCUGUUAUUAGGGAAGAACAAAUGUGUAAGUAACUAUGCACGUCUUGACGGUACCUAAUCAGAAAGCCACGGCUAACUACGUG
rnacentral:rRNA from 1 species